rnacentral:tRNA from 1 species
GGAGGGAUGGCAGAGUGGACGAUUGCGACGGUCUUGAAAACCGUUGUGGGGGCAACCUCACCGGGGGUUCGAAUCCCUCUCCCUCCGCCU